UCCAGCAGAAAGGCUCAGGGACCUGCACCAAAACCUGAAGGAUGUAAUGAAGAGCCUUGGACAGCUCCUGUGUCUCUGUGGAGGCAGCCUGUUCAGCCCACAUGGCUCUACUUAUGGCAUGAAGGUAUGGAGGAGUCACAACAGGAAUAUCAAGAUUUUACCACCUUGAAGCACCUGUUUUUGUGUUAUGAUUUGAUGUGACAUCUACUUCAAACUUAGGGGAAAAAAAACCCACAGAUGUGGAAGCAAGGAAGUCUCCUUGGGUCUCACUGCACAACCACAGCCAAAGAAACCACAAGACAAUUCC